rnacentral:rRNA from 1 species
UACGUAGGGUGCGAGCGUUAAUCGGAAUUACUGGGCGUAAAGCGUGCGUAGGCGGUUUGCCGUGUCCUGUGUGAAAGCCCCGGGCUCAACCUGGGAAUUGCAUGGGAAACUGGCAGGCUUGAGUGUGGGAGAGGGAUGCGGAAUUCCAGGUGUAGCGGUGAAAUGCGUAGAUAUCUGGAGGAACACCGGUGGCGAAGGCGGCAUCCUGGACCGAGAUUGACGCUGAUGAGCGAAAGCUAGGGGAGCAAACGGG